UUAGAAUAAAAAUACAUGUUGUGGUACAAUGAUAAAAAGAAAAAUGAUGAAAAGUAACAACUGCAAAUACUGACCAUUCACAAACCUCUGUGUAGCCUUAGAUAAAAUGGCACCAUUGUAUUUUGAUGAUUAAUCUGCAAAACUAUUGUUUUGAAGUCAAAUUGUUUAGAAUUGCUUCUGAAACCAGAUUUGAGACUAAUGGUUCAUUGUAGUGUUAAGGUACGGUCCACAGUAGGGAGUGGUGCAGAUGUGAACUGCCAACCAUUUUGCCCCAGUGAGCAUGUGAUCUCUAUCACUUUUUGGAUGCAUAGCUCCUUCUCUCUUCAGAUCAGUCACUCGUGGGCAGACUCCCUCUGAAUCUGUGCAAGGCUGGGCAUGGUUGCACCCUUCUUCUUUGCAAAUAAAGAUUUUAAUUGUCUUUUGUGGGGGUGUGAGGAAUUCAGAUUAUUCGAGAAUAUAAUUUACUUACCCAUCUUCAAAAAUGCAUAAUUUUGUUGCUAGUUACACUUCUUCCUUAAGACUCCUUUUUGUAAAAGUAUUUGUAAAAUUGUUUUUACAUAACCUAAGAAUGAUACAUCAAUACCUCUAGCAUAUUGCAACAUAUGUUCAUGUUGCAAGGGUCAUAUACUCUGACAUUCUCUGUAAAAUUGUGAUUACAGGAAUUCCUUUUAGCUGAUGUAGAAGCAAAUCCCUUAAUUCAUUUACCCGAGAUACUUUUUAAAAAUCAAAACUAGGAAUAAAGUGAAGAGAUGCUGAAUAAAAUACUACAUUGCAGUCAGUGUAGUAGUAAAAUUGCUCCCAUAUGAUUUUAAAGUGAAACAGUUGUUUGUAUGUAUAGUGUUUUAUACAGUAUCAAAGGGUGACACCUAGUGGUGAUUAUUUUGGUCUAUGGAGACUGUACUGGUAUUUCAGAUGCUGGGCUUGACUCUCCUCUUCCUUGUGUUUUGUGCAGUCACUUACAUCUUUACAAUGUAGGUAUAAAAAUAUUACCAAAUCAGAAUUCUGCACUCACACCUAUAAUACCAUUUUACACCCACUUGGCACAGGUAUAAAUGACUAACUAAGGCUCAAGGCAGUGGAGAAUCUGAUCAUUGCAAGAACCUAGAAUGUAUUAUUCACAUACAUAACUUUGUCAAGAUAGUCUUACUGAAAAGUUACAAGCUAAAUUCAAUAGCAGCAUUAAAUCAAUUAGUAUAAAAGAUUGUUUAGCAAUGCUUAUGUAGAAACAAAACGGAAAUUUUUUAGCAUUCAGCCCGAUUCCAAUUGGAAUAUAGGUGGGAAAAUAGAUGUGUUCUUAAACAUAUAGCUGUUUGGGGUUUUUUUCCCCUCGUGUAGGCUGCUUUCUUAGUCGAGACCCAGAUACUAUCUCUUGUAGUAAGCUAUAACACCGCAGGCAUAACUCCAGAGCAGUACUGGCUCAGGUUGACUAUGGAAUAUUUUGGGGAAUACAUCUUGAAAAUGAAAACUUUGCUUAAAAAGACCUGAAUAGUUCCUAAAACUGUUCGAACCAGUUGAAAUUGAAUCCCAUAAUGUAUUAACUACAUCCCAUUUUCAGAAAGAUUUUGCACAAACCAAUUUAUAAGAAAGGAAUAGUGCGUGCUGUUGUGAAAUAGCUGCUUGCCAUCCAUGUGCAUAUAUCUUAUAAUGGUGCACCGAGGAAUGUGAUGUUCAAAGUAAAUCCCACAUUUUCUACCUGGGUCUGUAUACAUUAAAACUUUUUAAAAUGUGUGUUAGUUCAAAAGGUACAGUUUAUAUUGGCUUAGUAUUAUUGUAAAAAAGGAACAGUGGACUUGAUUCUUGACUGUGCAUAGUGCUGUGCAUAGGAAAGAAAUGAGGGCUUUAAACCACCUUUAUGCUCCCUUUAUAUAUGUGCUGUCCAGGGCUUGGCCGGCCAUUGUUGUACUUUAGAGGAAAUUCGCGGCUGCUCUGAUUUUGAGUCCUGGCUGCGGUGGCCUCCUGGCAGCCCAGGAUAGCUAGAAUGGACUAUACUCUGGCUGCACCACCUCUCCAACUCCCUACUCUUUGCACAUCCCAUACUUCUGGAGUAGUACAGGGUGAUUGUGACAACUCCAUGCUGCCUAGGCUACCCUCUGACAUGGGCUGUUUACCUCUCCUUUAUGCUCCCAGAGUGAAUUAAAUUGAGGACAGGGUGAAAUCAGCUCCAUUUUCUUCCUUUAGUAUAUUACUGUUGAGAAACAUAUGUUCUUUGAGUAGUGUCCCUAUGGUUACUCCACUGUAGGCGUGUCUGUGUCCCAGCGCUACUGGUUGGAGAACGUUGGUAGCAGUCUGUCCAACCCGUGCAUGCGCUGCUCCUCACCUGCCACGAGGUUAGCCACCGUUAGCAGGUGAACCUCGUCAGUUCCUUCUCAACCACCCCUGGCUAGAGAAGGAGCUAGAGCUGUCCAUUCGUGGAUCGUUACCUCCCUCUAGAUUUACUAAAUUUAGCUUCCCUUGAAGCUUUUUUCUUUGUUACUACUUUUACGUAUUAUUUGGCCAUGCCUUAAAACAAAAACCGACAACAAAGAAGUUUGCCUCCCGCCAACCCUGGUAACAUCGAGAACCCCCACCCCACACACUGCACCCCCUGCCCGGAAUAGCCCAGAGCGCCUCCCCUCUCGGCUAGAGGAGCCCCGAAACAGCGAAAGUCCUGACCCCUCCCAGCCCCCAACCCAGAGGAGCCCCAGGCUGGUCGAUGCCCCAAACCUCUCCUCCUCCCCACCCGGACGACUCCUGGGCUAGAGGACAAGAGGAAAAGCAUGAUCCCAUAUGGUCCAGGCAGAUGUGGUACCCUUACUGUCACAGGUGGCAUUAUGUCUACUGAUGACUCUCCAUCACACCUCACCUCCUGUCGCACAACGAGAGAUGCACUCUCCAUCCCAACUUACAGAGUUUGCUACUCAAAGCAUGGCUCCUUCAUGCUUCUAGCACACAGGGACAUCUUGCUCUGAGGAGGUACAGGAGGUGCUGUUACACAAUAGAGAAGGAACUACUCAUCAUACCUGUCUGCAAAAAUGGAAGAGAUUCCAGAUCUGGUGCCAGCCUAAAGAUGUCACCCCUAAUACAGCCACCCUACCGGUAGUCCUGGACUACCUACUGGCUCUCAAGAAAUUGGGUCUCUCUGUUAGUGCGCUAGAGGUUCAUUUAGCAGCAGUUGCAACCUUCCAUCAACAGGUAGGUUACUCAGUCUUUUCCCAUCUGACUACAAAGAGGUUUCUCACAGGCAUAACGAACCUCUUUCCACCACCCAGACUUCCCACUCCUCAAUGGGAUCUCAACCAAGUGCUAAAAGGGUUGACUAGACUGCAAUUUGAACCUAUGGCCACUUGUUCAUUAACUUGCCUUUCCAUGAAGAUGGUGUUCCUGAUUGCCAUUACCUCUGCAAGAAGGGUAGGGGAAAUAGCGGCUCUGAUGGCUCCUCCCCCUUUCACUGUGUUAUUCCCUGACAAGGUCAUGCUGAGACCACAUCCAAAGUUCACUCCCAAGAUGUCUUCUGCAUUCUACAUAAAUCAGCUUAUUUGGCUUCCAGCCUUUUAUCCCAAACCUCAUCAGGAUAAUAGGGAAUACACUUGACGUGAGGAGAACCUUGGCCUUCUGUUUGGACGGGAUAAGAAUCUUCAAAAAAUUUCCAAGACUCUUCCUCUCCAUUGCGGGUAGAUCAAAAGAAAUCUGCAGAACAGCUACCUGGGCAUCUGCGCUUACCUUUGCAGAAUACUAUGCCAUCCUGGGGGAUUCAGCUGCAGAUGCCAAAUUUUGUGCUAUCAUCCAUAUCAGACUCAACUUCAAAGUCCCAGCCUCCAGUGGUGGGCACUGCUCAGGAGUCACCUACAGUGGAGCACCCACAAGGACACUACUCGAAGAAGUAGUAAUAGUUACCUUAUGCAGUAAUGAUGGUUCUUUGAGAUGUGUGUCCCUAUGAGUGCUCCACAGCCCACCCUCCUCCCCUCUACUUUGGAGUUCUUGUCAUUGACUCUGCAGUAGAAAAGGAACUGAGGGUCACCCGCGUAUGCUGGCUGACCUUGUGGCAGGUGAGGAGCUGCGCUUGUGAGGGCGUGAUGGACUGCUACCAAAGUUCUUCAAUCAGCAGCGCAGGGAUGCAGACACACCUACAGUGGAGCACCCUUAGGGGGACACCUCUCGAAGAACUGUCGUUACUGUACAAGGUGACUAACUUCUGCUUAGUUGACAAGUUCAAUACAUUGUACAUAUUUUAUUUUAAACUUUGUAUCUGGGUACAUUAAAAUAUUUAAAAAUUAA